GACGAACGCUGGCGGCGUGCCUAAUACAUGCAAGUAGAACGCUGAAGGAGGAGCUUGCUUCUCUGGAUGAGUUGCGAACGGGUGAGUAACGCGUAGGUAACCUGCCUGGUAGCGGGGGAUAACUAUUGGAAACGAUAGCUAAUACCGCAUAAUAGUAGAUGUUGCAUGACAUUUGCUUAAAAGGUGCAAUUGCAUCACUACCAGAUGGACCUGCGUUGUAUUAGCUAGUUGGUGAGGUAACGGCUCACCAAGGCAACGAUACAUAGCCGACCUGAGAGGGUGAUCGGCCACACUGGGACUGAGACACGGCCCAGACUCCUACGGGAGGAAGCAGUAGGGAAUCUUCGGCAAUGGACGGAAGUCUGACCGAGCAACGCCGCGUGAGUGAAGAAGGUUUUCGGAUCGUAAAGCUCUGUUGUAAGAGAAGAACGAGUGUGAGAGUGGAAAGUUCACACUGUGACGGUAUCUUACCAGAAAGGGACGGCUAACUACGUG
rnacentral:rRNA from 1 species